CGAUAAUGACUUUGAUUUGUGCGGUGUUGAUGAAAACUACAUUCUGGUAGUCGAUGAAGGUGCAUUGGCUUUUCAAGCAAAUGGAACUAAAACCCGACACCAUCACCAAGACAUGGAUAUGUAUCAAUUUAGAGAUUGUAUAGCAGAUGGGUUGAGUAGUAGGCAAUAGAUUUCAUGAUUUGUAAUGUUGUAUUGAACUUUUUUGUAAUACAUACUUUUUCAUGAAUAAAAAAAUCAAAA
rnacentral:lncRNA from 7 species